rnacentral:rRNA from 1 species
CAGAACAUGGGUGAUAAGGUCCGUGUUCGAAAGGGAAACAGCCCAGACCACCAGCUAAGGUCCCAAAAUAUAUGUUAAGUGGAAAAGGAUGUGGCGUUGCCCAGACAACUAGGAUGUUGGCUUAGAAGCAGCCAUCAUUUAAAGAGUGCGUAAUAGCUCACUAGUCGAGUGACACUGCGCCGAAAAUGUACCGGGGCUAAACAUAUUACCGAAGCUGUGGAUUGUCCUUUGGACAAUGGUAGGAGAGCGUUCUAAGGGCGUUGAAGCAUGAUCGUAAGGACAUGUGGAGCGCUUAGAAGUGAGAAUGCCGGUGUGAGUAGCGAAAGACGGGUGAGAAUCCCGUCCACCGAUUGACUAAGGUUUCCAGAGGAAGGCUCGUCCGCUCUGGGUUAGUCGGGUCCUAAGCUGAGGCCGACAGGCGUAGGCGAUGGAUAACAGGUUGAUAUUCCUGUACCACCUAUAAUCGUUUUAAUCGAUGGGGGGACGCAGUAGGAUAGGCGAAGCGUGCGAUUGGAUUGCACGUCUAAGCAGUAAGGCUGAGUAUUAGGCAAAUCCGGUACUCAUUAAGGCUGAGCUGUGAUGGGGAGAAGACAUUGUGUCUUCGAGUCGUUGAUUUCACACUGCCGAGAAAAGCCUCUAGAUAGAAAAUAGGUGCCCGUACCGCAAACCGACACAGGUAGUCAAGAUGAGAAUUCUAAGGUGAGCGAGCGAACUCUCGUUAAGGAACUCGGCAAAAUGACCCCGUAACUUCGGGAGAAGGGGUGCUCUUUAGGGUUAACGCCCAGAAGAGCCGCAGUGAAUAGGCCCAAGCGACUGUUUAUCAAAAACACAGGUCUCUGCUAAACCGUAAGGUGAUGUAUAGGGGCUGACGCCUGCCCGGUGCUGGAAGGUUAAGAGGAGUGGUUAGCUUCUGCGAAGCUACGAAUCGAAGCCCCAGUAAACGGCGGCCGUAACUAUAACGGUCCUAAGGUAGCGAAAUUCCUUGUCGGGUAAGUUCCGACCCGCACGAAAGGCGUAACGAUUUGGGCACUGUCUCAACGAGAGACUCGGUGAAAUCAUAGUACCUGUGAAGAUGCAGGUUACCCGCGACAGGACGGAAAGACCCCGUGGAGCUUUACUGUAGCCUGAUAUUGAAAUUCGGCACAGCUUGUACAGGAUAGGUAGGAGCCUUUGAAACGUGAGCGCUAGCUUACGUGGAGGCGCUGGUGGGAUACUACCCUAGCUGUGUUGGCUUUCUAACCCGCACCACUUAUCGUGGUGGGAGACAGUGUCAGGCGGGCAGUUUGACUGGGGCGGUCGCCUCCUAAAAGGUAACGGAGGCGCUCAAAGGUUCCCUCAGAAUGGUUGGAAAUCAUUCAUAGAGUGUAAAGGCAUAAGGGAGCUUGACUGCGAGACCUACAAGUCGAGCAGGGUCGAAAGACGGACUUAGUGAUCCGGUGGUUCCGCAUGGAAGGGCCAUCGCUCAACGGAUAAAAGCUACCCCGGGGAUAACAGGCUUAUCUCCCCCAAGAGUUCACAUCGACGGGGAGGUUUGGCACCUCGAUGUCGGCUCAUCGCAUCCUGGGGCUGUAGUCGGUCCCAAGGGUUGGGCUGUUCGCCCAUUAAAGCGGUACGCGAGCUGGGUUCAGAACGUCGUGAGACAGUUCGGUCCCUAUCCGUCGUGGGCGUAGGAAAUUUGAGAGGAGCUGUCCUUAGUACGAGAGGACCGGGAUGGACAUACCUCUGGUGUACCAGUUGUCGUGCCAACGGCAUAGCUGGGUAGCUAUGUGUGGACGGGAUAAGUGCUGAAAGCAUCUAAGCAUGAAGCCCCCCUCAAGAUGAGAUUUCCCAACUUCGGUUAUAAGAUCCCUCAAAGAUGAUGAGGUUAAUAGGUUCGAGGUGGAAGCAUGGUGACAUGUGGAGCUGACGAAUACUAA